rnacentral:rRNA from 1 species
GGCGAGUUUGAUCAUGGCUCAGGACGAACGCUGGCGGCGCGCUUAAUACAUGCAAGUCGAGCGAGAACCAGGCCUUCGGGCCUGGGGACAGCGGCGAACGGGUGAGUAACACGUGAGUAAUCCACCCUCGGCACCGGAAUAGCCCGGGGAAACCCGGAUUAAUGCCGGAUGGCCCAUCCGCUCUACGGGGCGGCUGGAAAAGGUAGCUUUGGCCUCCGGCCGGGGACGAGCUCGCGGCGGAUUAGCUUGUUGGCGGGGUAAAAGCCCACCAAGGCGACGAUCCGUAGCUGGUCUGAGAGGACGAUCAGCCACACUGGGACUGAGACACGGCCCAGACUCCUACGGGAGGCAGCAGUAGGGAAUCUUGCGCAAUGGGCGAAAGCCUGACGCAGCGACGCCGCGUGAGGGAAGAAGGCUUUCGGGUUGUAAACCUCUUUCAGGAGGGACGAAGCCACUCGGGUUAAUAGCCCAGAGGGUGACGGUACCUCCAGAAGAAGCCCCGGCUAAUUACGUGCCAGCAGCCGCGGUAA